AUGGCGACGGCCGACGCCGCCUUCCCUCACCACAGCGGACACAGACGGAUGUCUCUCCCCUGGUUUCUCACUGAACGACAGGAGCAGAGCCCCACUGUGGCAACAAUGGACAAGGAAAAGGGGAAGGACAGAAGCAGAAGGGGAAGGGCAUGGGCAAGGGUUGUGUCGCUGCAGAGGAAGCGGGCCAAGGAUUACGGCAAUGUCCCGCUUGCCGAAUUGUUAUUAAGGAUCCGCACCAACCCCACUGUCCGCCGCUGGAUGGCGGAUCUCAAGACUGCCGCCUACCAAGCCGACCACGUCCUCGAAAACUUCCGCUACGAGGCGCUGCGGUGCUGUGCCGACGACCACAUCCGCGGCCCCUUCUCCACAAUGAAGCAUGAUAAGCAAGCGGAGAAGGAUUAUGAAGAGGAGGAAGACAAUGAGGAGGACGAGGAUGAGCAAGUUCAAAGGAGGAGCUGUCCAAAAUUCAAAAGCAAUGAUGCCCAAUUCUUUUCAUCACUAUGA
rnacentral:rRNA from 1 species